UGGGGAAUUUUGGACAAUGGGCGAAAGCCUGAUCCAGCAAUGCCGCGUGUGUGAAGAAGGCCUUCGGGUUGUAAAGCACUUUUGUCCGGAAAGAAAUCCUUGGCUCUAAUACAGUCGGGGGAUGACGGUACCGGAAGAAUAAGCACCGGCUAACUACGUGCCAGCAGCCGCGGUAAUACGUAGGGUGCAAGCGUUAAUCGGAAUUACUGGGCGUAAAAGCGUGCGCAGGCGGUUUGCUAAGACCGAUGUGAAAUCCCCGGGCUCAACCUGGGAACUGCAUUGGUGACUGGCAGGCUAGAGUAUGGCAGAGGGGGGUAGAAUUCCACGUGUAGCAGUGAAAUGCGUAGAGAUGUGGAGGAAUACCGAUGGCGAAAGGCAGCCCCCUGGGCCAAAUACUGACGCUCAUGCACGAAAAGCGUGGGGAGCAAAACAGGAUUAGAUAACCCUGGUAGUCCACGCCCU
rnacentral:rRNA from 1 species